rnacentral:lncRNA from 10 species
CCAGUCUUCCAGUCGCUGCCAAAUUAAUGAGCCCACGUCAGGUUGGGUUUACAGCUCGGCCGGGAAGCAGCCGAGUGGAAAAUGAGCUCGGGGCCGCUCCAGAGGCUCCCGCACAACUGCAGAGGCUGCCCGCGUCCCUGGCCGCCGCAAAGGCCGGGCGCAGCCCAGGAGACCGGGAGUCGCGGCCCGCGCGGUUCCGCCCUCGGCUUCGACUUUAGCUGCCUCCAGAGGGAACAGGCCUGGUGUAGCGAAACCUGGUAAGGAGGGUCACAAGAGAGAUUCUUGUGUGAGAUCUGGUGGUGGGAGAGAAGCAGCAACCUUCAUUGUUCACCUUCCAAUUCACCCUAUUGGUGUGAUACGGCAGCCAGGCCAGCAACUGCUCCAUCUUCUCCUAUACUCUCCUUCAACUGCUCUGACUCUUGGGCCAGGAGCGGUGAAAAAGAAGAGGCAAGACCGGCCCCCAGACCGACCAAAGCCCACGUGCCGCCACACCCCACGCCCAGCGCGCCGACGUCCCGCCACUGUCGCUGCCACCAUCAUGCCCAAGAGCUGAAGGGGAUGCUAGAGAUAAAGCCAAGGUGAAGGACGAACCACAGAGAAGAUCCGCGAGGUUGUCUGCUAAACCUGCUCCUCCAAAGCCAGAGCCCACGCCUAAAAGGCCCCUGCAAAGAAGGGAGAGAAGGUACCCAAAGGGAAAAAGGGAAAAGCCGAUGCUGGCAAGGAGGGAAAUAACCCUGCAGGAAAUGGAGAUGCCAAAACAGACCAGGCACAGAAAGCUGAAGGUGCUGGAGAUGGCAAGUUGAGUGUAUGCAUUUUGGAUAACAGUGUACUUCUGGUGACUGUACAGUUUGAAAUACUAUUUUUUAUCAAGUUUUAUAAAA